rnacentral:lncRNA from 1 species
GGAACCGUUCAUGUAUUUACAAAGUUUGGUUUGGUUUUAGUUGGGUUAUUUAGGUUUUGCUUUGGUUCGGUAGCGUAGUUUGAAUCCGGCUAAUAUCUCAAAAUUGGGUCCAGUUCUGUUCCGGUUUAAUUCGGGCUUUCAAGUAAUUUCAGGUUUGUAGAUAAAAAUUGCUGGAUAAUUAAGAUUUUCAGUUUAAAUAUCGGGUAAUUCGAUUUGUUCGAAUAAAAAUAUCAUAUAAUUUGGAUAAUUUUAAAUAUUUUGAAUAAAAAUUUGGGUUAUUCAGCUUUACAGGUAAUUUGGUUUAUAAAUAGUAAUUUUAGGAUAUUUGGUUAUUUAGAAAUUAAAUAUAAUUUAUUAUUUGUAGGUAUAUAAUUUGUAUUUUAAAAUUCAGGCAUCCAUUUGAUUUUCUAUUCGGUUUCAGUUAUUCGGCUCCCCAGAUAUAGAAUCAACUCGGUUAUUUAUAAAAUUCAUUUUAAUUUGGGUUUUGUGUGUUUUCAGUUUGAUAUGGUUCGGUUCACGAUUCCACAUAAAUGUGUCUAGAAUUUUACACUAUUUUAUAUAGAAAUUCAUAUUAAAAAAAUAUUUAAUUUCGAAAACAAACCCGCGCUUUCUAAGUUCGGGUCAAAAUCUAGUAUUAGAUUAAUUUCAAACAUUUUGAAAUAUAAUAUAAGAUCCUACUAAACAUUCUUAAGAAAUUGGUAUGUUUAUUUGCUAUUAUAUUAAACACGCUGAAACCGUUGAAUUCACGUAAAUGAUAUAUAUCCAACUGCUAUCAUCCGAUAUUUUUGCAUCUAACAUAUCCUUUUACACAUCUCAAUAUUUGACAUAAACAAAAUAACAACAAUGAAUAAAUAUUAUAUAUUAUCAGCAAUUUAGAUGUUAGAUUUUGUGGGGAAAAAUAUAUGACUAUAUGAGAAUUUAUAUUAAACACAAAAUACGUAGCCACAAUAUUAGAGACUUUCCAUUGGCAAUGGACCAUUGCAUCCGGUACAAUGAAACAAAGGUGGACUAUCAUCAUCAAGAUCAUCUUGACAUGGAUGAACAGUCGUCCUUCAGGUACAACAUGCAACAAAAUACAACUUUGGAGUGGUUUCAAUGGAAACAAUCUUGCAAAGCAUAACACAUUUUCCCACCUAUAAAAACAAACAAAACAACUUUAUAUAAAACUGAAUUCAUGGAUAACUUCAGUGGACAUCCUUUAGUUGUAACCAAAAAUAUUUAAUAAGUACAACGUACCUCAUUCGAUGCAUUCAGUGCACGCAGGGAUGGAUCUACAGUAUAUGGAGGGGGCAGCUGCCCCCAUACAAUUUUACAUAUUAAUUUUUGUACAUAGUAAACAUUAAAUAUUCUGCAGCUUAGGUGGCUUUAACAUUGCAUUUCUUCUAGUUCUUUUGUUUCCUUUUGUUUUUUCUUUACAUAGUAUUUUUUCCUGUCACUCAAACUUUCAAUAUUAUUGUUUUUAACAACUUAUUCUAUAUUUUUUUUUCAUUUUAUUUUGUUAGUGAUUCAUCUUAUAUUUCUUUUCAAAACAGUUAUUUUAGUUGUAUCAGUUUAACUUAAAAAUAAAACUUUUUAAAAAAUUAUAUAAUAAUUUAAAAAUAUCAAUUUAUUUAUUUUUCCCCACAAAAAUUAUUUUCUAGAUCCGUCAUUGCAAUGCACGGAUAGAUUUUGUUGGAUUCUUAAUGAAAAUUUUAUCAUAUAAAUCUACUUUCAGAGAAGUAGAUUUUGAAUCAAAAUCUUCUUUAGUAAUAAUCAAAUCAUAUCAUUAGAAAACUUAGCUUUGAAAUCAAGCACUUCUUGUAGUUGUGGAUCAAAAACUUGGGUCCAGUUCUGUUCCGGUUUAAUUCGGGCUUUCAAGUAAUUUCAGGUUUGUAGAUAAAAAUUGCUGGAUAAUUAAGAUUUUCAGUUUAAAUAUCGGGUAAUUCGAUUUGUUCGAAUAAAAAUAUCAUAUAAUUUGGAUAAUUUUAAAUAUUUUGAAUAAAAAUUUGGGUUAUUCAGCUUUACAGGUAAUUUGGUUUAUAAAUAGUAAUUUUAGGAUAUUUGGUUAUUUAGAAAUUAAAUAUAAUUUAUUAUUUGUAGGUAUAUAAUUUGUAUUUUAAAAUUCAGGCAUCCAUUUGAUUUUCUAUUCGGUUUCAGUUAUUCGGCU